UCAUGAAAGCAAAUCUGGGAGCUCUUUCCUUUCUUGCCUUCUUCUUUUUCGGAAUUAACUGUAUGUUAUCCUCGAUCUUGUCCUCAUCAUUCUCAAGUUGUUCCUCUACCAUUUCAAUCAUCUGUAGAAAAUCAUCAUUAGCUGCAACAUCAGUUGACGAUGAAGAUAAUUCAGAGGAAUUAGCAGAAGUAUUAGCAAUCGG
rnacentral:misc_RNA from 1 species